rnacentral:lncRNA from 1 species
AAAAUUUGGGUCAUGAUAGACAUGUUGUUGCAAGUCUCCAGUGGUGCUUGACAUCUCCUCCCCUUAGAUAAUUUUGGUUUUAAUCAUUUUGCUCAUUGGUUAAAGUAUUAUUGUCUGCUUUUAAACUUACAGAUUGUAUAACAUGGACUACGCAAGAUUAAGUUGUUAAACUUAGUAAUUUUAAUUUUUAAAUUCCACAGAGGAAUCUGGUCCCUCUCCACAUGAAUUUCAAUGUUGCCUUUCUUCUUUUAAUGAACUUUAUGCAGAUCAUAAUUACCUGCCCCUUAGUGGUAUGGUUUAGUUGCAUCUCUGGGUUGGUCUAUUUGUAAUAUGUUUCACCUAGUUGUCUUUGUAACAGGAAUCUUACCCAUCUUCUUCACCAAUAUGGUUUGUGGACUCUGAUGACCCAAAUCUGACAUCAGUUCUGGAACGCUUAGAAGAUACUAAGAACAACAGUUCGGUAAGGAGAUGAACCAGACUUUCCUUUUUCCUUCUCAUGGUCUUAUGCAGAAACAUUAAAUAUUAAGCAGUUAUAUGAUAAAAAAUUUAUCAUACUAAAAUUUACUCCAUUUAUUUCCUUUUCCUGAUAAUUUUCCAUCCCUUCUAAGAUCGUAAUACAAGUUGUUAUAGCAUGAUUAAUAAUGACAAUUUUAGCAAGGUUACAGACCUUUUGAAGUCCAUCUCCCUCUUUCUACAUGUACAUUCUAUUUACAUUAGGAAUUGAAGUUCUUUUUUCCCCCCUUCAUUCUUGCCAUUAAACAAAGCAAACAUUUUUGAUAGACUGUUGGGUGAGGUGAGAAAGGACAAAGAUGGUAAGUGAGGUAACAUAGGAUAGCAUCAGGAUUUUUUUUUAACUUUUUUUUUUUUAAUUAUAUAUAUAAGUACACUGUAGCUGUCUUCACACAACCAGAAGAGGGCAUCGGAUCCCAUUACAGAUGAUUGUGAGCCACCAUGUGGUUGCUGGGAAUUGAACUCGGGACCUCUGGAAGAGCAGUCAGUGCUCUUAACCACUGAGCCAUCUCUCCAGCCCAACAUCAGUGUUUGUGUUAGGGAAUUCCUUUGCUAGUUAAGGCCCACAAGUCUGCAGUAAAAGCCAAAUUUAUUGAAAAGGUUUGUUGGUUUGUUUGUGAUCCAUAGUCAUCCCCCUGUGCAUACAUUCCAAGACUCCCAGUAGAAGCCUGUGGGUAUCUCUGAACUGUAUAAAAACAUGUUUUCUUCAGGACACUGCAUAUGAAGAGAUUAAUAGUAGCUAGUAAAGUAGAACCAGUGACAAUGGGCUCCAUGUUAAAGAACUAUAAACAUUGUGUACUUUCAGUUGGUUUAUGGGGACCUUGAUAAACCCUGGAAAGCAAUAUUUAUCUCUGGGUUAGAGGGGGGUGCUUUGUAAAGAGAUGUAUCUUUCUAGGCUGGGAAGAUGGCUCAGGAGUUUAGGACACUUGCUGCUCUUACAGAGGACUUUAGGUCUGUUCCCAGCACCCAAGUUGCAACAGCUUACGAGUACCUGUAACUCUAGCUCUGGGGAUCUGAUGCCUCUGUUCCCUAUAGGCACUGUACUCAGGGGUACAAACUACACACAAUUAAAAAAUAAAAAUCUUAUAAAAAGUAUCCUUUCCUUUUUUUAAAUAUUAAAAUGUUUUAUUCUUUGAUUGUAAAUAUCUAAGUACCCAUUGUAAGAAAACUAUUAAGUUGUAGAUAAAAAGAGGACAUUUAGCUUUCUUAUAAUUUUCUACCUAAUAUAACCACUGUUGACAUAAUGGAUAUUUUCUGCAGUUUUUUCUUUGUUAGAAAAUACAUAUGCUAUUUCAUAUGUUUUUAGAUAGUUGGGGUCAUGUCUGUAAUCUUACACCCCUUUUGAACUUACUGUUUUUUCCAUAUUAGUAAAUCCUUAUAGAACAUAAUUGUUCUUUGUAGAUGUCAUGAUUUUUUAAAAAUACUCCUCUUAAACUCAUAUAAACUGCAAAAAAAAAUGAGCUGGAGAAAAACAAUUAAUUUGUUGAAGAUCUGUAAUAACUCAAAUGCUGCUUAUUACCAAAUAGAAGAUACAAUGAUAUUUUAUUGAUGAUUGCAACAAAUUAAACACCUAGGGUAAAUUUAAAUAUGGGAGACUUAUAUGAAGAAAACAACAAAAUUUUGCACCAAAGAAUGUAGACUUAGAUACUGUGGACAGACAGAUGUCUGAGGUGUGACAAAUGCCACUUAUCCUGUGUCCUAAUAUCUAUAAAUCUAAUGCAGUGUCACUGAAAAUGAUUUAUUUAUUUUGGUGUUUAAAGACAGGGUUUUGCUAUAUAGUUCAGGCUGUCCUGGAACUUGCAAGCCUCUUGCCUUAGCCUUUCCAGUACUGGGAUUAUAGGCUAUGCCGCCAUGCCUGAGAGCCAUCAUAUUUGUUUCUGGUAUUGUCAGAAUGACUCAAGAAUAAGUAAUAAAAUACAAAAGUUUAAAAGGUAAAAAAUUUGCCCAAACAGUAAAUGAAAUAAAAUAUUAACUAUUAGAACUAGACCAACAGGCAAUAGAAAUUUAGAAACAGCCAUGCAAAUGACAAUUUAGAAUAAGUAAAGCUGGCGUUUUAACCCAGGAAGGAAGAAUCUUUCUAUAGAUAAUUUUAGAACUGGCCAUUUUGGGAACUUAGACUCUUUAGCUCUUUGUCUUGUCAAGGUAAAUGGUUUAAACAUGUUCUUAAAAUUAAGAACACUGGGGCUGCUGCAGUGGCUCAGCAGAUGAAAGCAUUGCCUCAAGAUUGAUGACCUAGCUUGGGCUCCAGGACCCACAUGGGAGAGAGAGAGAGAACUCUUCCUACAGCUGUCCUCUGACUGCCACACUGUCAUGGCACAUGGCAUCCCUCGCUCUCCCAACCUCCAUAAGUGUAAAGAAGUUCUAAAACAAUGAAGAAUAUAAGUUUCAAAAGUUUGUAAAAGAGUCCAGAUCUUAAGAGCCAUGAAACUCGGAGUAAUUAAACCCAGACAGGUACAUGUUUCAUUUUCAGCAGACUGGUGAUGGGAAAGACAGACAGACAUAGCUCUCUAGCUGUUCCUCCUUAAAUUGCUUAUGAGUUAGGCCUACUGGCACAGGCCCAUAAUCCCAGCUACUUGGAGUUAAGGCAUGGAUAUUGCAAGGUCAAGGCCAGUCUGGUCAACAGAUUGAGAUCCUGUCUCAGAAGUGAAGAUAGGGUUGAAACUAUAACUCAUUGGGAGAAUGCUCACCUACUUUGUGCAGGGUCCUAGGUAUAAUCCCUGAUACU